UCCUCCAUAGCUCAGUUGGCUAGAGCGUCUGACUGUUAUCGUCCUCGCACGAACGCAAAUCAGGAGGUCCUAAGUUCGAGCCUUAGUGGGGGAG